ensembl:lncRNA
ACUCAGUUUUGUUUAAGUGAAUGUUAAACGUGUCCUAAAGUGCAACAUCCAGUUGUACUUAAGCACAUCAGCAAAACUAAACCUUUGUUUUGUUGUUUCUUUUAGAGGAAACCUCCAGACAAAAAGCUCCUGCUGACACUGACCUCAGUCAUGACAAGACCAAACCCUUUAGCAGGUCUGUGGCGGUCUUUGACCUGGAAGCCUGAGGGUCUUGCGCAGUAUCUUAACUGUUCCUGGGACUGCACUCUUCUGGGCAGAGAUCUCAGAUGUUGUUCCUGGUGCCACUCUCCCAGUUCAGAGGUCACAGCCCCAAGAGUCCUGAAUACCACAGGGACCACUGUUGCCUUCACAUUUCACAUCUUUUCUAUGUUGCAGCAAUUUUUCCAUAAAGGACAAAUGUUUCUACUCACUGUGAUUCACACACUCAGUGUGUUCCCUGUGGAGUUACUGACCUCUAUAAGCACUGUAGAGCAGAUCUUUUUAAGUGGGACACUGUCUUGUCAACAUGCACAAGGACACACAUACACAUGGGUGAUACACAUUACAGCCAUGUACCAGCAUAAGCAGGGAAGAAGACAUCUCACCUGGAUGUAAACAAUUCAGCCUUAAAAUACUCAGCUGGUGGACACACGCUAAACCUGCAUGUUUUUGAAACUGGAGUGUUCCUUUGACACGAUCAUCUGAACAGGAACUGGUGAAUGGGUAAAGCUUCUCAGUGAAGGAGCAGUCAGCUUUAAUAUUCAUGUCAUAACAAGAGAACAGACUCUCCUCAUAAUCUACAAAUACCACAAGCUCCUCAGGGUUUAAGUCCAACAGAGACAGACUGAUUUGUCCUGUGGCCCCUCCAAGCAAACAGUACAGUCCAUUCACUAUUUUGUGGCUGCAAUCAAAAGCUUUGCUGUCAUAGUUUAUUAUUUCCUGUUUGGACUUUUAUUUUCUUAACAUUUAGGUUUUGAUUGGUCCACAGAUUCACAAUAGGAAGCUUUGAAUCCCAAUUACCUUAUUUUAUCUUUCCUAAGAUCUCGGUCAACCCAGAACUCGUUCUGGUCCACCAUGAUGAAGGAGGUCCCAAAACUCUUAUCUCUGCCCUGAGGAGCGAGGAGGCUUCCUGGAGGAGCCAUAACCGAGGACACAUCCUUCAUGGAAGUCUGUUACAGUUUUAAACACCCCUUUAUCGUAAAUCAGUGUGUGACUUGACUCUUCACUGUGAGGACUGGAGGAAAGCACAUCUCAUGUCUAUAAAAACAUGUGUCCUUGAGUCCUCUGUCCUUACUCCUUGCAUCUUAAGUAGGUGAGACCAAGAUACAAGUGAGAGAAACAUUGAUGCAAUUGGUGGAACUGGGAGUCACCAAUAAGAUUAAGACUUAAUACAGGUGGACCUGUACUAGGACAGUCAGAAAAACAUACUCACCUGUUUCCCCUUCAGGUUGUAUUGAGGUCAGCUCCCAGUAUCCACCCACUGUCAGACCUGCUGUUGUCCUCACUGGUCCCUCAUGGUCUUUGUGUUCCUGGUUGUGUGCAAAUCAUUUUUCUUUUUUAAAAUAAAUCAAACUUACCUUUUGCCUGCAUUGCUCUCCCGCAAUUGGGUCCAGAGGUUUAAGAAGGCGCUAAAGACAUCAGGUGUGUCCUGCGUCACUAUCUGCACUUUCCAUUUUCCAUCAGUGUGUCUCUUAUUUAAAGUCUUAUUUUGGGAGAAGCGGGUAGGUGGUUGCUAUGCGUGUUGCUCAGAGAUGUGAUUGAUUACGACAUUUCACGCUACGGCUGCGUCUAAUGUGUAGAUCUUCUUCUUCUUGUGUUUUAUCGGUGUUUGGAAAAUGACACUAUAAUAAACCUGUUCUAUCUAAAUACAUAAAUCAACCUGUUCUAUCUAUUCAAUUCAACUCAAUUCAAUUUAUUUGUAUAGCUCCAAAUCACAAUACAAAUCAUCUCAAGGCACUUUAUAAACAAAAACCCAACAAUUCCCUUAUGAGCAGCACUUGGCGACAGUGGAGAGGAAAAACUCCCUUUAACGGAAGAAAAAACCUCCAGCAGAACCAGGCUCAGUUUGGGCGGCCAUCUGCCUCGACCGGUUGGGGUGAGUGGAUAGAGCAGAGAGAAAAGAACAGCAACAAUAAACAACAAAUAGACACUGCAGGUUGGUGGGACCAGUAACUGCACAUCAGC